UAUAUCAAUCAUAAAGAUAUUAUAAAUCAUAAAGGGACCACCAUUAAAAUGUGAUAUGACAUGCAUGUUUUUUCUUUUGACCAAACAGGAGAAAUGUUUGCAAAUGAAUCUAUCCCCUAGUAAAUACCGAUUUUAUCUUUAACUAACUAUAACGCCAGCUAAGCAGUUAAUCCAUACAUGUGCACAAACAUGUAAUACUCAGCAAAUGUUUACAUGCUCGUUGGUUGUAGGAGCCCUCUGCUGGACACUGUGUGAAUCACAUCCUCCUCGGUGCUCCUAAUGAAGUAGCUGUUAUUUAGUCUACUGUCUGUAAGAUCUCUUUUACAAAUAUCAGUAUUACUCCAAAUAAAGGGAAUUUUUAUAAGAAGUUUAGUGAAAUUGACUGAAUUUGUUACUGUUGUCAUGUUUGUUCAUAACUUCUUAAAAUCUUGCCAGAACCUGUAAACGUCCUGAAACAUUGCUUCCUGUAAAUUAAUAAACAAGAU